rnacentral:rRNA from 1 species
UACGAAGGGGGCUAGCGGUGUUCGGAUUUACUGGGCGUAAAGGGCGCGUAGGCGGAUUUUUAAGUCGGGGGUGAAAUCCCGGAGCUCAACUCCGGAACUGCCUUCGAUACUGAAAGUCUGGAGCACGGUAGAGGUGAGUGGAAUUCCGAGUGUAGAGGUGAAAUUCGUAGAUAUUCGGAGGAACACCAGUGGCGAAGGCGGCUCACUGGACCGAUACUGACGCUGAGGCGCGAAAGCGUGGGUAGCAAACAGG